rnacentral:misc_RNA from 1 species
GAUGAAGAACGCAGUGAAAUGCGAAAAGUAAUGUGAAUUGCAGAAUUCAGUGAAUCAUCGAAUCUUUGAACGCACAUUGCGCCCGCUGGUACUCCGGCGGGCACGCCUGUCCGAGCGUCAUUUCAACCCUCACGCCCUCCUUCGGGAUGGGCCUGGUGUUGGGGCUCGGCCGCCAUCUCCGGCGGCCGUCCCCUAAAUACAGUGGCGGUCACGUCGCGACUCCUUUGCGUAGUAGAAACACCUCGCUCCGGAUAGCAACGCGGUCCACGCCGUAAAACCCCCAAUUUUCAAUGGUUGACCUCGGAUCAGGUGGGAAUACCCGCUGAACUUAAGCAUAUCAAUAAGCGGAAGA